rnacentral:rRNA from 1 species
CGAGAAUCUUCCGCAAUGGGCGAAAGCCUGACGGAGCGACGCCGCGUGCAGGAGGACGGCUCUCGGGUUGUAAACUGCUGUCACACAUUAAGGAACGUUAUGUUUAAUCAUAGCCUGACAAAGG